CCAGACUCCUACGGGAGGCAGCAGUGGGGAAUAUUGCACAAUGGGGGAAACCCUGAUGCAGCAACGCCACGUGAGUGAAGAAGUAUUUCGGUAUGUAAAGCUCUAUCAGCAGGGAAGAAGAAAGACGGUACCUGACUAAGAAGCCCCGGCUAACUACGUGCCAGCAGCCGCGGUAAUACGUAGGGGGCAAGCGUUAUCCGGAUUUACUGGGUGUAAAGGGAGCGUAGACGGCAUAGCAAGUCUGAAGUGAAAGCCCGUGGCUCAACCGCGGAACUGCUUUGGAAACUGUUUGACUGGAGUGCAGGAGAGGUAAGUGGAAUUCCUAGUGUAGCGGUGAAAUGCGUAGAUAUUAGGAGGAACACCAGUGGCGAAGGCGGCUUACUGGACUGUAACUGACGUUGAGGCUCGAAAGCGUGGGGAGCAAACAGGAUUAGAUACCCUAGUA
rnacentral:rRNA from 1 species